ACAUUUCGGUAGUUCGUUUGCAAAACUGACUCGCUCCUAAGUGAGUUCUGCGUGCUGUGGGCUGAAAAUUGCAUAUAAAAGCCAAUAAUAUAAGUUAUUACCAUUUUGCCUCUUCUCCACUGCAACAAUAACGGGUCUUUAAUGUAGCAUAAGCAACAACACUAACUAAAUAAAAUAGAAAAGCAAAAACUAUGUAAAUAAUCUGCAAAAAUACAAAAUAAAGCAAAUAAGAAAACGGAAAGAGCAACUGCAAGCCAAGCAAUAAAACCAGAGCAACAAUUACAAAAAUAAU